rnacentral:rRNA from 1 species
GAUGAACGCUAGCUACAGGCUUAACACAUGCAAGUCGAGGGGAAACGAUGAGAGAGCUUGCUCUCUUAGGCGUCGACCGGCGCACGGGUGAGUAACGCGUAUCCAACCUACCCAUUACAGGGGGAUAACCUUGCGAAAGUAAGACUAAUACCCCAUGGCAUUUUAUGGUGGCAUCAUUAUAGGAUUAAAGAUUUAUUGGUAAUGGAUGGGGAUGCGUCUGAUUAGCUUGUUGGCGGGGUAACGGCCCACCAAGGCAACGAACAGUAGGGGUUCUGAGAGGAAGGUCCCCCACAUGGGAACUGAGACACGGUCCAAACUCCUACGGGAGGCAGCAGUGAGGAAUAUUGGUCAAUGGGCGAGAGCUUGAACCAGCCAAGUAGCGUGCAGGAUGACGGCCCUAUGGGUUGUAAACUGCUUUUAUAGGGGAAUAAAGUGAGCUACGUGUAGUUUAUUGCAUGUACCCUAUGAAUAAGGACCGGCUAAUUCCGUG